UACGAAGGGGGCUAGCGUUGCUCGGAAUCACUGGGCGUAAAGGGUGCGUAGGCGGAUUGCUAAGUCAGGGGUGAAAUCCUGGAGCUCAACUCCGGAACUGCCCUUGAUACUGGCGGUCUCGAGUCCGGGAGAGGUGAGUGGAACUGCGAGUGUAGAGGUGAAAUUCGUAGAUAUUCGCAAGAACACCAGUGGCGAAGGCGGCUCACUGGCCCGGUACUGACGCUGAGGUGCGAAAGCGUGGGGAGCAAACAGG
rnacentral:rRNA from 1 species